rnacentral:lncRNA from 1 species
GAGGGGGAGGUUCGAUCUCGCGGCCCUUAGGACCACUGCGAGCCGCCUCACACCACUCGACCACCAACGUCGGGUUAAUUUGAUGUUAUUGUUGGAGAUGAUAAAAAGAUUUAUGACACCAAAACAUCAAAUUUAGUGUAAUUUCAACACUAAAUAUGAUUUCAUUCUUGGAAAUGCCCUUAUGGCUUAUUUCUUUUCUUUCAUCAUGCUUUUGAUAUGCGUUGAU